UGAGGAAUAUUGGUCAAUGGUCGAGAGACUGAACCAGCCAAGUCGCGUGAAGGAUGACUGCCCUAUGGGUUGUAAACUUCUUUUACAAGGGAAUAAAAUGAGAUACGUGUAUUUUAUUGCAUGUACCUUGUGAAUAAGCAUCGGCUAACUCCGUGCCAGCAGCCGCGGUAAUACGGAGGAUGUGAGCGUUAUCCGGAUUUAUUGGGUUUAAAGGGUGCGUAGGUGGGCUGUUAAGUCAGCGGUGAAAGUUUGUCGCUUAACGAUAAAAUUGCCGUUGAAACUGGUAGUCUUGAGUAUAGAUGAAGUAGGCGGAAUGCGUGGUGUAGCGGUGAAAUGCAUAGAGAUCACGCAGAACUCCGAUUGCGAAGGCAGCUUACUAAGGUAUAACUGACACUGAAGCACGAAAGCGUGGGUAUCAAACAGG
rnacentral:rRNA from 1 species